rnacentral:snoRNA from 1 species
CCUGCACAUUGUUAGAGCUUAAAGUUAAGGCCACUGUCUGGCUAAGGAACCCACAAGUAUAGGUAGUUUGCUACAUAAGGGACAAGUCUCUGGCCCAAUGAGUCCAGUUUUAUAGUAACUCUUGCUACAAGU